UAUGUGUGGCAAACCUGACUGACUCAUGACGUCAUUUAAGUUUUUGCGAAGCAUAUUAUAUGUUAGAUGGUAAUCCUGUCUCUAUUAUAAUACGGUUUGGGAAGACUUUUUGGCGGUAUAUAAUCUUCUUCGCGUGAUUUGUCGCAUUUCAUGCGGCAUUAUAAACGUGACUAUAAAUAAUGGAAUUUAUAUAAAUAUAAAAUUUCUAUAAAAGUUAUUAUUAUAUUGAUUACGUUUAUUUUAAUUGCAUUCAAAAGCAUUUUUUAUGUAUAUAUUUGAUUUCCAUUAUUUUUGCUAAGACUGUAAAAAACAGAGAGAAUCGUUUUGCAAGAUUAUUUUCGCAGGUAAAAAAAAGAAGAAAUAUGAAAAAUAGUCAAGCAGCACAUAAAAUUAAGAAAUA